rnacentral:tRNA from 1 species
GGGGGUGUAGCUCAGCUGGGAGAGCGCUUGCAUGGCAUGCACGAGGUCAGGGGUUCGAUCCCCCUCACCUCCA